AGUGAACGCUGGCGGCAGGCCCAAUACAUGCAAGUCGAACGGCAGCACAGCAGAGCUUGCUCUGUGGGUGGCGAGUGGCGGACGGGUGAGGAAUACAUGGGAAUCUGCCCAGUCGUGGGGGAUAACGUAGGGAAACUUACGCUAAUACCGCAUGCGCCCUUCGGGGGAAAGCCGGGGACCUUCGGGCCUGGCGCGAUUGGAUGAGCCCAUGUCGGAUUAGCUAGUUGGCGGGGUAAUGGCCCACCAAGGCGACGAUCCGUAGCUGGUCUGAGAGGAUGAUCAGCCACACUGGAACUGAGACACGGUCCAGACUCCUACGGGAGGCAGCAGUAGGGAAUAUUGGACAAUGGGCGCAAGCCUGAUCCAGCCAUGCCGCGUGAGUGAAGAAGGCCCUCGGGUUGUAAAGCUCUUUUGUCCGGAAAGAAAGCGCCGGGUUAAUACCCUGGUGUCCUGACGGUACCGGAAGAAUAAGCACCAGCUAACUUCGUGCCAGCAGCCGCGG
rnacentral:rRNA from 1 species